rnacentral:rRNA from 1 species
CGUAAAGGAAGUGACGGGGCCGCACAAGCGGUGGAGCACGUGGUUUAAUUCGAUGCAAACCGAAGAACCUUACCUGGGUUUGACAUGUACGUGUUACUGAUCUGAGAGGAGAGGGACCCAUGCUUCGGUAUGGGAGCGUACACAGGUGCUGCAUGGCUGUCGUCAGCUCGUGUCGUGAGAUGUUGGGUUAAGUCCCGCAACGAGCGCAACCCUGCAUCCAGUUGCCAUCGGGCGAGCCGGGCACUCUGGAGGGACUGCCGGCGACAAGCCGGAGGAAGGUGGGGAUGACGUCAAGUCGUCAUGGCCCUUAUGUCCAGGGCGACACACGUGCUACAAUGGCCGGCACAGCGGGAAGCGGAGGGGCGACCCUGAGCGGAUCCCUUGAAAGCCGGUCCCAGUUCGGAUUGCAGUCUGCAACUCGACUGCAUGAAGUUGGAAUCGCUAGUAAUCGCGGAUCAGCCAAGCCGCGGUGAAUACGUUCCCGGGCCUU